rnacentral:rRNA from 1 species
UGAGGAAUAUUGGUCAAUGGGCGAGAGCCUGAACCAGCCAAGUAGCGUGCAGGAUGACGGCCCUAUGGUUGGUAAACUGCUUUUAUACGGGAUAAGUUGGACUGUCCCAUUGCUAGGUACCGUAUGAAUAAGGACCGGCUAAUUCCGUGCCAGCAGCCGCGGUAAUACGGAAGGUCCGGGCGUUAUCCGGAUUUAUUGGGUUUAAAGGGAGCGUAGGCCGGAGAUUAAGCGUGUUGUGAAAUGUAGGAGCUCAACUUCUGCACUGCAGCGCGAACUGGUUUCCUUGAGUACGUAGGAAGUUGGCGGAAUUCGUGGUGUAGCGGUGAAAUGCUUAGAUAUCACGAAGAACUCCGAUUGCGAAGGCAGCUGACUGUAUCGUAACUGACGCUGAAGCUCGAAAGUGUGGGUAUCGAACAGGAUUAGAUACC